CUUAGAUUCGUAUGCAGAAAUAUUUGUUUUUCUCCUAUUUUUGUAGAAGAAAAAUCUUCUCUCUCUGCAUGUUCGUCAUUGCACGUGAGCAUUCCUUGCUUGUAAGCGUUCACAUUGAAGUUUAACCGGUUAAACCGUUAAACUCGCAGAAGUCGGGUGUUGUCACGGCUACUGUGUCACGGCAAAGGUGCUGCAAAACAAGGUAAUGAUCCCAAGGUGACUUACAUGCCAUGGAAGAUUCAUGAGAAAUGUGUGUUUAUCAGAAUAUAAAGCACGGGAACAGUAGCUGCCUUGGCCUCUACAGAUGUCGGCAACAUAUUUUCCUAAACAUGCAUAACAGGUGCAAAUCAUUCCUCCGGACACCGCGCGUUGAUUGUUCCAGAUACAGGGAUAUUGCACAGAAAUGCCUCUGAUGAAAUUUCACGCUCCUUUGAAGACACUGGAAUAUUGCAAGUUAAUAAAGUCAUCAAGUCUGUAAACUGCAAAAGCUUA